CCUACGUGUGGCAGCAGUGAGGAAUAUUGGUCAAUGGGCGCGAGCCUGAACCAGCCAAGUCGCGUGAGGGAAGACGGCCCUACGGGUUGUAAACCUCUUUUGCCGGGGAGCAACGGGCGCCACGUGUGGCGCCACGGAGAGUACCCGGAGAAAAAGCAUCGGCUAACUCCGUGCCAGCAGCCGCGGUAAUACGGAGGAUCCGAGGGUUAUCCGAAUUUAUUGGGUUUAAAGGGAGCGUAGAUGGGUUGUUAAGUCAGUUGUGAAAGUUUGCGGCGCAACCGUAAAAUUGCAAUUGAUACGGGCAGUCUUGAGUACAGUUGAGGUAGGCGGAAUUCGUGGUGUAGCGGUGAAAUGCUUAGAUAUCACGAAGAACUCCGAUUGCGAAGGCAGCUUACUAAACUGCCACUGACAUUGAUGCUCGAAAGUGUGGGUAUCAAACAGGAUUAGAUACCCUUGUAGUC
rnacentral:rRNA from 1 species